AGGUUGGCCACCCAGUAAUCAACACAAGUUAGAAUGUGGGCAACUCGGCAGUCGUUGCACAGGCACUUUGGUGACUCUAGAUAACCUCGGGCCGAUCGCACGUCCGCAUAACGACGCAUUCGGAUGUCUGCCCUAUCAACUUUCGAUGGUACUUUCUGCGCCUACCAUGGUGACCACGGGUAACGGGGAAUCAUGGUUCGAUUCCGUAGAGGGAGCUUGAGAAACGGCUACUACAUCCAAGGAAGGCAGCAGGCGUGCAAAUUACCCACUCCCGAUGCAGGGAGGCAG